rnacentral:rRNA from 1 species
ACGAACGCUGGCGGCGUGCUUAACCCAUGCAAGUCGAACGGAAAGGCCCUGCUUUUGUGGGGUGCUCGGGUGGCGAACGGGUGAGUAACACGUGAGUAACCUGCCCUUGACUUUGGGAUAACUUCAGGAAACUGGGGCUAAUACCGGAUAGGAGCUCCUGCUGCAUGGUGGGGGUUGGAAAGUUUCGGCGGUUGGGGAUGGACUCGCGGCUUAUCAGCUUGUUGGUGGGGUAGUGGCUUACCAAGGCUUUGACGGGUAGCCGGCCUGAGAGGGUGACCGGCCACAUUGGGACUGCGAGACGGACCAGACUCCUACGGGAGGCAGCAGUGGGGAAUAUUGCACAAUGGGCGGAAGCCUGAUGCAGCAACGCCGCGUGCGGGAUGACGGCCUUCGGGGUGUAAACCGCUUUCGCCUGUGACGAGGCGUGAGUGACGGUAAUGGGUAAAGAAGCACCGGCUAACUACGUG